UACGAAGGGUGCAAGCGUUGUUCGGAAUUAUUGGGCGUAAAGCGCACGUAGGCGGCCUUGUAAGUCUCACUGUGAAAGUCCGGGGCUCAACCCCGGGAUGCCAGGGGAUACUGCGAGGCUGGAGACAAGCAGAGGUUGGUAGAAUUCCGGGUGUAGCGGUGGAAUGCGUAGAGAUCCGGAGGAAUACCAGAGGCGAAGGCGGCCAACUGGGCUUGUUCUGACGCUGAGGUGCGAAAGCGUGGGGAGCGAACAGG
rnacentral:rRNA from 1 species